AAGCUGCUUUCUCUCAUCCAGAGCAGAUGGCCGGAUAGGAAUCAGAUGGGAAAAGCAUCCUGCAAGCUCAGGUUUGUGUUGAAACCAGCCUCAGAGUCCACCUGUCUCACUCAUCCGUGGAUUUCUGUGUGACCAGGAGUCACUCUCAGUUUAUGAGAAUGUCUUUCCACAUGGCCGUGUCAAUGAGGAGUGUGGGCCCUGUGUCUCUGUUGAUGUGACAGGAAGUAGCAACCUGCAUCUACUAUUCUCGGUCUUCCCUGUACCCAGCCUCUCAGCAGAAAGCAUGCACAGAGGAGGAAGGGCUAGUAAAUGGGUUCCUGACAAGCUGGCUACAGGGCCUGGUGACCUUUGAGGAUGUGGCCGUGGAGUUCACCCAGGAGGAGUGGGUAUUGCUGGACCCUUCUCAGAGAACGCUGUAUAGGGACGUGAUGCUGGAGAACUGCAGGAACCUGGCCUCACUGGGGUGUCAUGUUGAUAAACCCAGACUGAUAUCUCAGUUGGAAGAAGAGGACAAGAUGAUGACAGAGGAGAGAGACAUUCUCCCAAGUGCCUGCCCAGAUUUGGAGGCUCUACUUAAAGCCAAUUGGUUAACUCCUAAGAAGCAUGUUUUCAGAAAAGAACAGUCUAAAGGUGUAAAAGCGGAAAGAAGUCAUCGUGGAGGGAAACUCAAUGAAUGCAAUCAAUGUUUUAAAGUCUUCAGCACAAAAUCUAAUCUUACUCAGCACAAGAGAAUUCAUACUGGAGAAAAACCCUAUGACUGUAGCCAAUGUGGAAAAUCCUUCAGCAGUAGAUCUUACCUUACUAUUCACAAGAGAAUCCACAAUGGAGAAAAACCCUAUGAAUGCAAUCACUGUGGGAAAGCCUUCAGUGAUCCCUCAUCUCUUAGAUUGCAUGUGAGAAUUCACACUGGAGAAAAGCCCUAUGAAUGUAACCAGUGUUUUCAUGUCUUCCGCACUAGUUGUAACCUAAAAAGCCACAAAAGAAUUCAUACAGGGGAGAAUCACCAUGAAUGUAAUCAGUGUGGAAAGGCUUUUAGCACAAGAUCCUCUCUUACUGGGCACAAUAGCAUUCAUACGGGAGAGAAACCUUACGAAUGCCAUGAUUGUGGGAAAACUUUUAGGAAGAGCUCCUAUCUGACACAGCAUGUAAGAACUCAUACUGGAGAAAAACCCUACGAAUGUAAUGAGUGUGGAAAAUCUUUCAGCAGUAGCUUUUCUCUCACUGUGCACAAGAGAAUACAUACUGGAGAGAAACCUUAUGAAUGCAGUGACUGUGGAAAGGCUUUUAAUAAUCUCUCAGCUGUUAAAAAACACUUGAGAACUCACACUGGAGAAAAACCCUAUGAAUGUAAUCAUUGUGGAAAAUCUUUCACGAGUAACUCUUACCUUUCUGUGCACAAGAGAAUACACAACAGGUGGAUAUGAAUUCCUGUGGGAGAUUACUAUGGGAAUUUUAUAAAACACUCACUGAUCUCAUCCCUAAGACAGUUUGAGAGAACUCAUGCUGGAUAUAUAAACUAUCUGUUGCAGCAUAACACAUUAUCCCCCAAAAUGUAGUGGCUUUAAACACCAAACAUUUGUUAUCUCACAAUUUCUGUAGGUCAGGAAUUUAGAAACAGCUUAUCUCAGUGGUUAUGCCUCAGGGCCCCUCAUGAUGUUAUAGUCUGAAUGUCAGCCAGAGCUAGUCAGCUGAAGUCUUUACUGAUGAAAGGUCCACUUCCAAGCUGUCUUAUUUACAUUCCCGGCAAGUUAGUGCUGGCUUUGUUACAGGACGUGCUGUUCCUCACUAUCUAGGCCUCUCCUCAGGGAUGAGUAUCUAUUUUAUUUGGCAGCAUGUUCCCCCCCAAAGCAAGCGACUGAAGAGAGGGGGCCAGUACACAAUGUCUUUUAUGACCUAGCCUCAGAAGGGCAUAGUUUCACUUCUUUCCGAUUGUAUCGGUCACACACAUCGGUCCUAAUGCAAUAUUGGAGAAGACUAUGCAAGUUAUGAAUACCAGCAGACAUCACUGAGAACCAUCUGGGAAACUUUCCAUGAAAUUAUGAAGAAAAUGAAAAAACUCCUUCAACAUAUCUUCAUCCUUUUCAUCUGGCCACGAAACAGCAUUCAGUAACUCUCCCGUUAAUUCACUCUGGAGAGAAACUUUAUGAGUACAGUCUAACUGGUAAAGCUUUUAGCUCAAACUCUGAUCCUAUUGUGAGAAGAUUAUGUACUGGGAAAAGCCUGAGGAGUGGAACAGCUAUUGGAAAGCCUCCAGGGAUAUCCCCACAGUCAUGUGGCAGCUCACACUGAGAGAGAAACCCUAUGGAGAUCAGGAUGCAGAAGGCUUCAAGGACACUCAUCCUUGAAGACCCACAUGGGAAACCACACAAGAGGAGCAUUCACAAGAAAUGUGGAAAACCAAAACAGAGAAAGAAUGAAAUAAAUGUGGAAAACCUUAUAGCAAAAGUGUUCACAUUACUAAGCAAAAUAACAGCGUGGUACCCUGCAGUGACUACGGGAAAGUCUUGAAUGUUUUCUCGGUUUUUAGAGGAUGAGAAUACAUUCUGAAGCGAAAGUCCCAUUGAAUGUUAUCAGUAUUGGAAAACUUUCCAUUUUUCCACAUUUGUUAGGAAAUUUGUAGCGCUUCAUACUGCCAAGAAACUUGCGAAUAUAAAGAUUGAGCAAAUGCCUUCAGUGAUGCCUCUGUGUUAGGAAACAUAUGGAAAACCUGGAUGCAAAACCUAUGAGUAUAUUAAAUUUGGAAAGUGUUUCAGUGAUUUCUCUUUUUCUUGAAUGUGAGAGAACUUGUAUAGAGGAAACCCUAGGAAUGUCAUCAAUUUUAGGACACCUCGGCAUCAGCUCUUCAGUGAGUGGUCAUAGAGUAAUUUACACUGGAAACAAAAAGUGCAAAUCACCAACAGUCCGGAAUUGAAUCCCCCAAAAUGUCAGAAAGUGGGCCUGGGUCCCAGGACAGGUGCAGAACCUGCCCCAGUGCAGCCAGUUCCCGACCACCGUGCACAACUUCCUCCAUCAAUACCUCAGUCCAGGGCCCAGGACUCACCACCAGAGAUGUUGCAGCCCAGCAUGCAAGGCCUGAAGACGUCUCUUUCA